UACAGAGGUGGCAAGCGUUGUUCGGAAUUACUGGGCGUAAAGGGCGCGUAGGCGGCCUACUAAGUCAGACGUGAAAUCCCCCGGCUUAACCUGGGAACUGCGUCUGAUACUGGAAGGCUUGAGUAUGGGAGAGGGAUGUAGAAUUCCAGGUGUAGCGGUGAAAUGCGUAGAUAUCUGGAGGAAUACCGGUGGCGAAGGCGGCAUCCUGGACCAGUACUGACGCUGAGGCGCGAAAGCUAGGGGAGCAAACGGG
rnacentral:rRNA from 1 species